AAUCAACGCUGGCGGCGUGCCUAACACAUGCAAGUCGAACGCGAAAGCCCCGCAAGGGGUAAGUAGAGUGGCAAACGGGUGAGUAACACGUGGGUGACCUGCCUUCGAGUGGGGGAUAACGUCCCGAAAGGGACGCUAAUACCGCAUGACAUCCUGCUCUUGGACGAGCGGAGAUCAAAGCUGGGGAUCGCAAGACCUGGCGCUUGAAGAGGGGCCCGCGCCUGAUUAGCUAGUUGGUGAGGUAACGGCUCACCAAGGCGACGAUCAGUAUCCGGCCUGAGAGGGCGGACGGACACACUGGGACUGAGACACGGCCCAGACUCCUACGGGAGGCAGCAGUGGGGAAUUGCUCGCAAUGGGCGCAAGCCUGACGACGCAACGCCGCGUGGAGGAUGAAGAUCUUCGGGUCGUAAACUCCUGUCGAGCGGGAAGAACGUUUCGCGGAUGAAUAAGCCGCGGAAGUGACGGUACCGCUAAAGGAAGCCCCGGCUAACUCCGUGCCAGCAGCCGCGGUAAUACGGGGGGGGCAAGCGUUGUUCGGAAUUACUGGGCGUAAAGGGCUCGUAAGUGGCCAACUAAGU
rnacentral:rRNA from 1 species